GACUAACGCUGACGGUAUGCCUUAUACAUGCAAGUCGAACGGUAAGGUCUCUUCGGAGAUACACGAGUGGCGGACGGGUGAGUAACGCGUAGGAAUAUGCCCUUUAGUGGGGACAACCAAGAGAAAUUUUGGCUAAUACCCCAUAUGCAGUGAUGUGAAAGAUUUAUCGCUAAAGGAGUAGCCUGCGUUUGAUUAGCUUGUUGGUGGGUAAAAGCCUACCAAGGCGACGAUCAAUAGCUGGUUUGAGAGGAUGACCAGCCACAAUGGGACUGAGAUACGGCCCAUACUCCUACGGGAGGCAGCAGUAGGGAAUUUUGCGCAAUGGGGGAAACCCUGACGCAGCAAUACCGUGUGCGGGAAGACGCUCCGUGGAGUGUAAACCGCUGUCAGAUGGGACGAAUAAAUGACUGUACCAUCAAAGAAGGACCGGCUAACUCUGUGCC
rnacentral:rRNA from 1 species